rnacentral:lncRNA from 1 species
CACUAGGGCUCAAAAGGAGAGCAAGGCUCAGAUGGAGGAACAACUAUGGAACUUUGCAGAACACCCUCAAGAGAGAGGGCUCUGGCAUAAAGACAGCCUGCCCUCUAAAAGACAUCGGCUUUUACACUCAUUCUUUAUUUAUGACAAGCAACCCAGCUCUCCAGAUGCAAAACACCUGGACUCUAGAAAACUGCAUGUCCAGUACUCCAGCCAGUUGCCUGGGUGCUCUGAGUUCUAUUUCUGGAGAGCGUCACGGCCAGCUGAGCCCAGAAGUCCCGCCCAAUAAUAUGGGCUUUGGGCUAGCUGAGCUGACUGCAGUUGAGCCAGAUAUCUGGAAGGCAGAACUCUUUCCAUUUAUUUAUACCAGAUGAGUCAGCCGCAGUGGUUCAGUAACCAAUUUUUGCUGGACCCCUCCUGGAGGAUCCACCCAUACACAUUUCAAACCCCAUCUCUGAGCCUGCAUGUGCCAGUACCAAGCAGCUACCAGGCUUGGCCAGCGCUUUGGCGCCCUCUGGCGGCCAUUAUGUCUAAUGACAACUCAGAGGCCUGCCUCCUGCCUCCUGAACAGACCCCUGGAUGGACUGCACUGGGCUUGUGCACUGGGUAGUUGAUUUAAUCCCUCCUCUCAUUCUAAAACAACCAUUUUUCUCUCAUAGUCAGCAAAAGUGCUCACGCCUCCCAAUCCUUCCCCUCUCCUCUGAGUCAUUGAGCCGAACCCACUCCCAAUCACGUGACCAGAUUUCAAUGAAUCAGCCUCCCCAUCUUCAUUUCUGCCACUUGGGUCGAGGUGAGAUUUUCACCAUCAGGGGUGAAUGAGAGGAGGGGAGAAGCUCAGACGGUAGGAAAAGAAGGAAACUUACAGAAAACCUUCAAGAGAUGAGUCUCUGGGAUGGAUGAACCUGCUGACCAGGGAAAUGCUGCUUUUGCACCCUCCAUUCACAGCCACCCACCCACUGCCCAGAGGCCACACACUGCGCAAGCCUGUUCUGGGAGCGCUGCAAGCCCAGUAUUCCAUCCCACACCCUUUUGUCUCAGAUGCAGCCUCUGCAGAAUCCAAAGCAGUCAGAACGCUUCACGGACUGUCCAAUCAUCUGGACUUCAGGCUACCUGAGCUGUCAGAAAGUGACCCGCAGAUGGGAAGAGCAGGACAAGGUCCUUCCUAUCAGAUGCCAAACAUCAUGGAAGCCUGAUUCUGGAAAACCAAAUGCCCAAUACUCAAACCAACUGCCUGUGUUUCGGAGUUCUACCUCUGGAGAAUCAAAAGGCAGUCUGAACCUUGAAGAGCUGUCCUUUAACAUGGGCUUUGG